rnacentral:rRNA from 1 species
CCUACGGGUGGCAGCAGUAGGGAAUCUUCGGCAAUGGGCGAAAGCCUGACCGAGCAAAGCCGCGUGAAUGAAGACGGCCUUCGGGUUGUAAAAUUCUGUUAUAAGGGAAGAAAGGUGAUAGGAGGAAAUGACUAUCAAUUGACGGUACCUUAUGAGCAAGCCACGGCUAACUACGUGCCGGCAUCCUCGGUGAUACGUAGGUGGCAAGCGUUAUCCGUAAUUAUUGGGCGUAAAGAGCUCGCAGGUGGUUAAGUAAGUCUGAUGUGAAAGCCCACGGGUUAACCGUGGAGGGGCAUUGGAAACUGGUUGACUUGAGUGCAGAAGAGGUAAGGGGAAUUCCAUGUGUAGCGGUGAAAUGCGUAGAGAUAUGGAGGAACACCAGUGGCGAAGGCGGCUUCCUGGUCUGCAACUGACACUGAGGCGCGAAAGCGUGGGGAGCAAACAGGAUUAGAUACCCGAGUAGUC